rnacentral:misc_RNA from 1 species
GAUGAAGAACGCAGCGAAAUGCGAUAAUUAAUGUGAAUUGCAGAAUUCAGUGAAUCAUCGAGUCUUUGAACGCACAUUGCGCCCGCCAGUAUUCUGGCGGGCAUGCCUGUUCGAGCGUCAUUACAACCCUCAGGCCCCCGGGCCUGGCGUUGGGGAUCGGCGGAGCCCCCCGUGGGCACACGCCGUCCCCCAAAUGCAGUGGCGGUCCCGCCGCAGCUUCCAUCGCGUAGUAGCUAACACCUCGCGACUGGAGAGCGGCGAGGCCACGCCGUAAAACACCCAACUCUUCUGAAGUUGACCUCGAAUCAGGUAGGAAUACCCGCUGAACUUAAGCAUAUCAAUAAGCGGAGGA